rnacentral:rRNA from 1 species
GGAGCAGUCGCGGCUGUGUGUAGGAACAACAAUGGAGACUAUCUUGGAUCUUCGGCGUUCGUCAUUCGAGGCUUAAUAGAUCCGCCUACUCUAGAGGCUAUUGCAUGUAGAGAAGGUUUAUCUCUGGCUGAAGAUUUGGGGCUACAGAAUAUAGUGAUUGCGUCGGACUGUCAAGAAGUAGUGAAGCACAUCAUGGAAAAAUCAGGUGGAAACUAUGGUGGAGUGGUGAAAGAAAUAACUUCGUGGCAAUCUUUGUUUAGUUCCUGUUCUUUUAAGUUUGAAUCAAGAGUCUCAAAUUUUGAGCCUCACAAGUUAGCUAGGCAUGCUGUAAAGUUGGUUCAUGGCCGACAUAUUUGGCUGGGGCUACCACAUGACAUUUCUGUAAUACCGGUAGCAAUACCAACUCAUGAAUAA